GUAAUACAUCGGAACGUGCCCAGUAGUGGGGGAUAGCCCGGCGAAAGCCGGAUUAAUACCGCAUACGACCUACGGGUGAAAGCGGGGGACCGAAAGGCCUCGCGCUAUUGGAGCGGCCGAUGGCUGAUUAGCUAGUUGGUGGGGUAAAGGCCUACCAAGGCUACGAUCAGUAGCUGGUCUGAGAGGACGACCAGCCACACUGGGACUGAGACACGGCCCAGACUCCUACGGGAGGCAGCAGUGGGGAAUUUUGGACAAUGGGCGAAAGCCUGAUCCAGCAAUGCCGCGUGUGCGAAGAAGGCCUUCGGGUUGUAAAGCACUUUUGUCAGGAAAGAAAUUGUCUGGGCUAAUACCCCGGGCCGUUGACGGUACCUGAAGAAUAAGCACCGGCUAACUACGUGCCAGCAGCCGCGGUAAUACGUAGGGUGCGAGCGUUAAUCGGAAUUACUGGGCGUAAAGCGUGCGCAGGCAGUUUGUUAAGACAGUUGUGAAAUCCCCGGGCUUAACCUGGGAACUGCAAUUGUGACUGGCAGGCUAGAGUUUGGCAGAGGGGGGUGGAAUUCCUGGUGUAGCAGUGAAAUGCGUAGAUAUCAGGAGGAACACCGAUGGCGAAGGCAGCCCCCUGGGCCAUGACUGACGCUCAUGCA
rnacentral:rRNA from 1 species